rnacentral:rRNA from 1 species
GACGAACGCUGGCGGCGUGCUUAACACAUGCCAGUCGAACGCUGAAGCUUGGUGCUUGCACUGGGUGGAUGAGUGGCGAACGGGUGAGUAAUACGUGAGUAACCUGCCCUUGACUCUGGGAUAAGCCUGGGAAACUGGGUCUAAUACUGGAUACGACAUGCCACUGCAUGGUGGUGUGUGGAAAGGGUUUUACUGGUUUUGGAUGGGCUCACGGCCUAUCAGCUUGUUGGUGGGGUAAUGGCCUACCAAGGCGACGACGGGUAGCCGGCCUGAGAGGGUGACCGGCCACACUGGGACUGAGACACGGCCCAGACUCCUACGGGAGGCAGCAGUGGGGAAUAUUGCACAAUGGGCGGAAGCCUGAUGCAGCGACGCCGCGUGAGGGAUGACGGCCUUCGGGUUGUAAACCUCUUUCAGCACGGAAGAAGCGAGAGUGACGGUACGUGCAGAAGAAGCGCCGGCUAACUACGUG